CAAAGUUAAUAAGGGCGCACGGUGGAUGCCUUGGCAUUAAGAGCCGAAGAAGGACGUGACUAACGACGAUAUUCUAGGGGGAGCAGUAAGUACGCAUUGAUCCCUAGGUCUCCGAAUGGGGAAACCCACUAUGUUAUGCAUAGUAUCCGUAAGUGAAUACAUAGCUUACGCGAAGGUAACGCAGAGAACUGAAACAUCUAAGUACCUGCAGGAAGAGAAAGUAAAAACGAUUUCCUAAGUAGCGGCGAGCGAACGGGAAACAGGCCAAACCAAGAAGCUUGCUUCUUGGGGUUGUAGGACUGCAACGUGGACUUAAAGUCUAUAGAAGAAUUACCUGGGAAGGUAAGCCAAAGAGAGUAAUAGCCUCGUAUUUGAAAUAGACUUUAUACCUAGCAGUAUCCUGAGUAGGGCUGGACACGCGAAAUCCAGUUUGAAUCCGGGAGGACCAUCUCCCAAGCCUAAAUACUCCUUAAUGACCGAUAGUGAACCAGUACCGUGAGGGAAAGGUGAAAAGAACCCCGGGAGGGGAGUGAAAUAGCACCUGAAACCGUGUGCCUACAAGAAGUUCGAGCCCGUCAAUGGGUGAGAGCGUGCCUUUUGUAGAAUGAACCGGCGAGUUACGUUAUGAUGCGAGGUUAAGCUGAAGAGGCGGAGCCGUAGCGAAAGCGAGUCUGAAUAGGGCGCUUUAGUAUCAUGAUGCAGACCCGAAACCUAGUGACCUAUCCAUGAGCAGGUUGAAGGUGCGGUAAGACGCACUGGAGGACCGAACCAGGACACGUUGAAAAGUGUUUGGAUGACUUGUGGAUAGCGGAGAAAUUCCAAACGAACUGGGAGAUAGCUGGUUCUCUCCGAAAUAGCUUUAGGGCUAGCGUCGCAAUUUAAGUGUAUUGGAGGUAGAGCACUGUUUGGAUGAGGGGCCCAUCUCGGGUUACCAAUUUCAGAUAAACUCCGAAUGCUAAUACACAUGUGCGGCAGUCAGACUGCGAGUGCUAAGAUCCGUAGUCGAAAGGGAAACAGCCCAGACCACCAGCUAAGGUCCCAAAAUAUAUGUUAAGUGGAAAAGGAUGUGGGGUUGCACAGACAACUAGGAUGUUAGCUCAGAAGCAGCUAUCAUUCAAAGAGUGCGUAAUAGCUCACUAGUCGAGUGACCCUCGCGCCGAAAAUAGUACCGGGGCGUAAACAUAUUACCGAAGCUGUGGAUUUAAUAUUAAUUAAAUGGUAGGAGAGCGUUGUAAUCAGCGAUGAAGGUAUACCGUGAGGGGUGCUGGAGCGAUUACAAGUGAGAAUGCCGGUAUGAGUAGCGCAAGAUAAGUGAGAAUCUUAUCCACCGUAAGACUAAGGUUUCCAGGGGAAGGCUCGUCCGCCCUGGGUUAGUCGGGACCUAAGGCGAGGCCGAAAGGCGUAGUCGAUGGACAACAGGUUGAUAUUCCUGUACUAGUAUUGUUAGUGAUGGAGGGACGCAGUAGGCUAAAGGGAGCCAGUUAAUGGAUUCUGGUCUAAGCAGUGAGGUGUGGAAUGUGUCAAAUGCAUUUUCCUUUAACAUUGAGCUGUGAUGGGGAAGCAACUACGGUUGCGAAGCCCUUGAUGUCACACUGCCAAGAAAAUCUUCUAGCGUUUAAUUCAAUACUACCCGUACCGCAAACCGACACAGGUAGUCGAGGCGAGUAGCCUCAGGUGAUCGAGAGAACUCUCGUUAAGGAACUCGGCAAAAUGACCCCGUAACUUCGGGAGAAGGGGUGCUGUAGAAAUACAGCCGCAGUGAAAAGAUCCAAGCAACUGUUUAUCAAAAACACAGCUCUCUGCUAAACCGCAAGGUGAUGUAUAGGGGGUGACGCCUGCCCGGUGCUGGAAGGUUAAGAGGAGGGGUUAGACAUUAGUCGAAGCUCUGAAUUGAAGCCCCAGUAAACGGCGGCCGUAACUAUAACGGUCCUAAGGUAGCGAAAUUCCUUGUCGGGUAAGUUCCGACCCGCACGAAAGGCGUAAUGAUUUGGAUACUGUCUCAACGAGAGACUCGGUGAAAUUUUAGUACCUGUGAAGAUGCAGGUUACCCGCGACAGGACGGAAAGACCCCAUGGAGCUUUACUGCAGAUUGAUAUUGAGUACCUGUGAAGCAUGUACAGGAUAGGUAGGAGACUUUGACCUUGGGACGCUAGUUUCAAGUGAGUCGCUGUUGGGAUACUACCCUUGCUUCAUGGUUGCUCUAACCCACACGCAUAAUCGGCGUGGGAGACAGUGUCUGUCGGGCAGUUUGACUGGGGCGGUCGCCUCCUAAAGAGUAACGGAGGCGCCCAAAGGUUCCCUCAACAUGGUUGGAAAUCAUGUGUAGAGUGUAAAGGUAUAAGGGAGCUUGACUGCGAGAGCUACAACUCGAGCAGGUAGGAAACUAGGGCUUAGUGAUCCGGUGGUACCGCAUGGAAGGGCCAUCGCUCAACGGAUAAAAGCUACCCUGGGGAUAACAGGCUUAUCUCCCCCAAGAGUUCACAUCGACGGGGAGGUUUGGCACCUCGAUGUCGGCUCGUCGCAUCCUGGGGCUGUAGUCGGUCCCAAGGGUUGGGCUGUUCGCCCAUUAAAGCGGCACGCGAGCUGGGUUCAGAACGUCGUGAGACAGUUCGGUCCCUAUCCGUCGCGGGCGUAGGAAAUUUGAGAGGAUCUGCCCUUAGUACGAGAGGACCGGGGUGGACUUACCGCUGGUGUACCAGUUGUUCCGCCAGGAGCACCGCUGGGUAGCUAUGUAGGGAAGGGAUAAGCGCUGAAAGCAUCUAAGUGCGAAGCCCACCUCAAGAUGAGAUUUCCCAUUCUUUAUGAAUUAAGAGCCCUGAGAGAUGAUCAGGUUGAUAGGCUGGAAGUGGAAGUCCUGCGAGGGAUGGAGCGGACCAGUACUAAUAGCUCGAGGACUUUACCAA
rnacentral:rRNA from 1 species